rnacentral:tRNA from 1 species
GGUAAGACUAAAACAAGGGAAGAGGUUUAUAAAAAUUAAACUUUUAAAGCCAGAGUAGCUUAACA